GUGUUUUUCAGCUGUUGAAGUGUGGAAAAUGAAGGAUUUGCGUCAGCUCUUUUGACAGCGCGAGACGGCGCGGCUUCUCGUGCAGUGACACAAAGAGCUCGCAAGAAACGAAUUUAUUCUUGUUUAAGACCUUUUAAAAAUUAAAUAUUACAGCGAUUGCACACAAUCAACCCAUUAGAACAAACCAAGAGCUAAAAGUGGGUGUUUUUCAGCUGUUGAAGUGUGGAAAAUGAAGGAUUUGCGUCAUCUAUUUUGACAACGCGAGACCGCGCGGCUUCACAACGAUCUCACAACAAACGAGUUUAUUCCUGUUUAAGACCUUUUAAAAAUAAAAUAUUACAGCGAUUGCACACAAUCCACCCAUUAGAAGAAACCAAGAGCUAAAAGUUGGUGUUUUUCAGCUGUUGAAGUGUGGAAAAUGAAGGAUUUGCGUCAUCUAUUUUGACAACGCGAGACCGCGGGGCUUCACAACGACCUCACAACAAACGACUUUAUUCCUGUUUAAGACCUUUUAAAAAUACAAUAUUACAGCGAUUGCACACAAUCCACCCAUGAGAACACACCAACGGCUAAAUUCAGAUUUUUGUGAGCUGGUAUAUUGUGAAAUUGAAUGAUUUGCAGCAGACUCUCUGACGGCUCGAGACUUCAACACUGGCAUGGGGAAAAAGGUCUACAUACUGAAACUACAGCCUUUUACAUUAAAACUCUCCAGUGAAUCAGUACAAAACAAUUAGAAGAAUAUAUUAUAGAGAUUAAAAUGAGUGCUUGUGAGAUAUUUUU
ensembl:lncRNA